CCUUAACCUGCUAAAUAGCCAGGCCGGCUACGGCUGGUCGCCGGCUUCUUAGAGGGACUGUCAGCGUCUAGCUGACGGAAGUUUGAGGCAAUAACAGGUCUGUGAUGCCCUUAGAUGUUCUGGGCCGCACGCGCGCUACACUGACAGAGCCAGCGAGUUUCUCACCUUGGCCGGAAGGCUUGGGUAAUCUUGUGAAACUCUGUCGUGCUGGGGAUAGGGCAUUGCAAUUAUUGCCCUUCAACGAGGAAUACCUAGUAAGCGUGAGUCAUCAGCUCGCGUUGAUUACGUCCCUGCCCUUUGUACACACCGCCCGUCGCUACUACCGAUUGAAUGGCUUAGUGAGGUCUCCGGAUUAGCUUUGGGGAGCCGGCAACGGCACCUUAUUGCUGAGAAGCUGAUCAAACUUGGUCAUUUAGAGGAAGUAAAAGUCG
rnacentral:rRNA from 1 species